AAGCAUCCACUUGAUUUUUAAAAUUUUAAAAUUUUAUUUUUAUUUUCAAAGCAAAUAAUGGAUGGAGGAGAUUUGUUUUAUCAUUUUAAAGCAAAUCUGUGGGUGGGGGUGUAUUUUCCUUUUGAUUUUGUAAAGACUGUAUUUAUAACGAAAUAUAAAAGGUAAGUGUGGAUUUUUGUGUGGUGUAUUAAUGGUGCGAAUUAAUGCAAUAAAGUAGAGAAAUAAGGAAAGUGGGUAAAAGUUGACCAGAUAUCAUCGGAAAAACAGUCAAUCUCUUGAAAUUACAUUUUUAGUAUAAAAUCUUAAAUAUUAUAUUUGUUACCAUAAGUUAUUAUUGUAUUAAAUCAAGCUCU
rnacentral:lncRNA from 1 species